rnacentral:lncRNA from 1 species
AGUCCUGAAUCUGCAGGAUAUUGUGAGACAUCAAAGCAGUGCCAUAUUUAAGGAUGGUUUCAGGUUCUCAAGAUGACAGUAGAAACAUGACACUUCACCUGGAUAUUAUCUCAAGACUGAAAAAGUAGAAGGCAGAGUAUCCCAGCCAGCACCUGCAGGGCCCUUGCACUGAAAACCAGCAGUGGAAACAAGCUGGGAGGGCAUCUGGAAGCUCUCAUUCUUCAGAUUUGAACUCCACCCAUUGUACCAGUCACCCCCAAAAGAAUCAGCAUGUCUCCUGGCAAAUGUAUAAAACCAGAACAAGUCAGGACACUAUCACAUAGUGUGCUAUACAUCACCAGGUGCUCAACUUUAUCAAAGGAGAGGACUUCAACAGGUGUCAGAAGCCACAAUGUCAGGUAGAAGCUUCCAGGGACUGAAGGAACAAGCUGAAGGUGCAGCAAAAGAUGCUGCAAACACACUGGGCCAGGCCACUCAGGAUGCAGUCAACCAGAUUACAGAUGCAAGCCAGAAAGGUAGGAGCAAUGACGUUCAAAGCAAGAUGGAGCAGCUCAACACAAGCCAGAAGCGGCCCGUGCUCAUUCUCUUCUGUCCCACAGGUGUUCUCAGCCUGAAAGUCCUUGGUUUCAGUGACCACUUUGUAUAACCUUUAACAUUUUGUAAGAACUUUAACAAUUUUAUAACAACUUGUAUAAAUCUCACAAAAGGAUUGCAGGAUCUGUUGCUCAGUAGCUCCACACGUGCUGGCAGACUGUAACUGACACUCCCUGGCCACCGAGUCUUACGCACAGCAUUCAGACAUUGGCUUCCUAUUUAGAAAACUUGUGGGGCAGCUCUUCUUUUAGAGGAUUAAGUAACUCUAUGUUACAUCUUGCUCCCCCCACCCCAGCCCUGAGGGCAGGGGUCUGUCCAGGUGCAGCUCUACACUGGAUCCCAGCAGCUGCAGGGUCAGCAGCUGGGGUCG